AAAGCAGCACAGUGGCAAUAUCGUAGCCAAUGAGGUCUACCGUGGUGUGAUUAUUGCUAAUUGAAAACUUUUCCCACUACCCCGCCAUGACGACUUGAAAUAUAGUCAGCAUUGGCAAUUUUUGACGGUCUCCACAGAGA